CGGGUUUUCAUUUUUCUACUUCGCACUGUGCACGUUUCUUCUACGCACGCCCGAUGCUACCAAAUCCCUUCUUCUCGCGACUCCUUCCAAUCCAGUGAAGGCAGUGAUGGCGACGACUCCUGUGAAUGACAACUUCUACUAGGGUUCAUCUUCUCCGGCGGAGAGGUUCUGCGCCGGCGCAGUGAGUCCCUCUCACUUCUUGAUUCUCGACAAAAGGGCAGCAAUGCCUUACUAGGGCUUCUUGACAGCGGAGCGUUCUUCUCCGGCAAGCACCCCUCUUCAUCCCUCCCUCAGCGGAGAUUCACCUACGGACGACAUUGCGAAUGCAGAGGAUUUCAUAGAGGAAUCUGGCUAUCCCUUCUUCUCUGGCGAAUUUCUUCUUCUUCCAUCACUAAGCAGUGAUGUGGACUUCCCGUGGACGACGUUGCAAAGGUGGGCAUAAUUCCAGCAACCUCAGUGGUGUAUCCAUUUUUGGCAGCAAGCUUCAUUUCAUAUCUCUAUUCAACUUCGUGUGGUUCGCAUUGGUGGAAUCAGAAGAUCAGAGGAGGUCAGUAAUGUGUAUUGCUGUUCACCGAGGCUAGCGGUUCCAAAUCUGGAUCCUCGAUGUGAUGGCGGAGGUUGAAGGAAAGGGGCGAGGGAAGAAUGCUAACAACUACAUCGUCAAUAAAGACCUAUUUUGGUCAAAUCUCUUCAUUUAGACUAUUAUUUCAGUUUUUUAAAAAUAUUUUUCAUUUCUUUCUUUCAAUUUUAUUCUCUCUUAUUUCUGUUUACUUGGUUGUUGUAGAAAUUCAAAAAUGUUGUUAGGACUUAAUUAUUCAUCGUUUGUAUUCAUGCAUGCUAUCUUGUAUAUU